rnacentral:sRNA from 1 species
GCAAACCAGCGAGAACCUAUAUGGUUUAUAAGGAAACUAAGAAAUAUUGUCAAUUUAAAAUGAAUAAAACACCAUUCAUAAGGGCCUAUAUCGAGUUGUUACUGAACCUGUUUUGUAUGCAUUAAGGGCUCUAAGGAUUCCACUGCCUAUUUUCAUAAAAUUUCAAUUACAAAAAUUAGUUAUAUACAGAUCAACUGUAAUUUCCAAACAGAUAACGAAAUCAUAACAAUAUAAUAACAUUUAGAUAGCGAGAGAAAAAGUAGUUUGGAUUCAAAGACUUUGAACAACAACAGCCAUCGUACACUAAAAAUAGAAGCAUAACGUUAAACACAAAAUAGUAUAUUUUUAGAAAAUUUAAAAUUUGUAACACAGAGAUGUAUAGUUACGUCCAAAGAACAGUCUUGCUUGAGAGAUAAGGCUUCUAUACUCAAGAUCACACCUUCAAACUUACUUUUCAAUUAUUAACAGUAAAAGAGAUGAAUGAAAUUGCAAUGCUUUAUCAUAUAAUCACUAAGGCUGAAUAGUAUCAAUAAUUACCUCAUCCAACGAUAAGUCUAGAGCAAAAAAUUCAACGACCUAAGAAAUUAAAAAUACAUUCCCAAAUGAUAUUAAAUACAUUUGGCGUAACAUUUCUGAUGUCGAAGAUGUUAUAAAAUACCGAUAUUGGUCGGAACUUACCGAUAAAAAAAAUUCACAAGGUUCCUAAAAAACCCUAAAAAAGUUAAAAGCUAAUAUCAAACUAAAAAGUAUGUAACUAACAUCCUUUCAAUACGAAUCAUCAUAGUUGCUACUUAUCGUUAGAGAAAAGUCGUAAAGAAUGAAACAUUAAUGAACACAUCAAAAUAAUAAAAUAUAUUAUAGUACCCCAGUUUCAGGAAUAUGCUGGCGCAUGCAGAGAGGUUUAAAAUAAUUGAUUUGGCCACCUAUGUCACAAAAGUGCACUUAUCUUUUCGGUCAAAAGUCCUGAGAGAACUCCAAAGUUAAGUGUGCUUGGGUUAGAGUAGUUUCAAGAUGAGUGACCUACCCGGAAGUGAUUGUCGGAACCAUGCGAGUAAGGGUAAAGCAUGGGAAAAGAUCAUGUGGUGAUUUGUAGGGCCGGUAACAAGUCUUUAAAGCUUCCCGGACGUGGUGUACUGAUUGUCGAACAUGGGUGGGCUCAUGGGCCCGAGAGAGGACGUGAAGCCCACUGGUAGGGGCGAUUGGAGCGUGCCACAGAUACCGAAAAAAGGAAAUACUCCAUGCUCAAACAGGAUACCCUAGCAGAUGAAAGCAUACAAACCAUAUAUAUAUUCAGACGAACAAUAACAAUCAAAAGUGACCAAUAAGGAAAGUGAAACAACCCAACCCAUAAAAACUUAAUUCAAUCAACCAAUAAAGCAAUAUUUAAACCACAAGUCAAAAAUAAUAAUUUAU